rnacentral:rRNA from 1 species
CACGUAGGGUGCGAGCGUUGUCCGGAAUUAUUGGGCGUAAAGAGCGUGUAGGCGGCCAGAUAGGUCUGCUGUGAAAACUCCGAGGCUCAACCUCGAGAUGUCGGCGGAAACCAUUUGGCUAGAGUCCGGAAGAGGAAAGUGGAAUCCUGGUGUAGCGGUGAAAAUGCGCAGAUAUCAGGAGGAACACCAAUGGCGAAGGCAGCUCGCUGGGACGGUACUGACGCUGAGGUGCGAAAGCGUGGGGAGCGAACAGG